rnacentral:rRNA from 1 species
GAUGAACGCUGGCGGCGUGCCUAAUACAUGCAAGUCGAGCGAAUGGAUUAAGAGCUUGCUCUUAUGAAGUUAGCGGCGGACGGGUGAGUAACACGUGGGUAACCUGCCCAUAAGACUGGGAUAACUCCGGGAAACCGGGGCUAAUACCGGAUAACAUUUUGAACCGCAGGGAUCGAAAUUGAAAGGCGGCUUCGGCUGUCACUUAUGGAUGGACCCGCGUCGCAUUAGCCAGUUGGGGAGGUAACGGCUCAACAAGGCAACGAAGCGUGGCCGACCUGAGAGGGUGAUCGGCCACACUGGGACUGAGACACGGCCCAGACUCCUACGGGAGGCAGCGGUAGGGAAUCUUCCGCAAUGGACGAAAGUCUGACGGGGCAACGCCGCGUGAGUGAUGAAGGCUUUCGGGUCGUAAAACUCUGUUGUUAGGGAAGAACAAGUGCUAGUUGAAUAAGCUGGCACCUUGACGGUACCUAACCAGAAAGCCACGGCUAACUACGUGCCAGCCGCCGCAGUAA